AUACGAACAACAGUUUAAACACCAAAGAAUUUGGCGGUGUCUUAGCUAAUUAGGGGAACCUGUUCCUUAAAUCGAUAAUCCACGAAAGUCUUACCUAAUUUUGAAACUCAGUUAGUGUACUGCCGUCUCAAGUAUACCUUUAUGAGUGUAUACAAUAAAUUACUAAUAUUAAUUAAACGUCAGGUCAAAGUGCAGCUUAUAAUUAGGAGGAAAUGGGUUACAAUCUUAAUAUAGACUACGAAUAAAGGUAAUAAAAUACCUUUUGAAGGUGGACUUAACAGUAAUUAUCAAUAAUAUAAUGAAAAAUAUAUAAGACAAGUACACAUCGCCCG
rnacentral:rRNA from 1 species